UGGCUAUGUUGGUAAAGUAUUUGCCUGCAAUGCAAGGGACCCAGGCUCGAUCCCUGG
rnacentral:tRNA from 1 species